GACCUCAAAUCAGGUAGGACUACCCGCUGAACUUAAGCAUAUCAAUAAGCGGAGGAAAAGAAACUAACAAGGAUUCCCCUAGUAACUGCGAGUGAAGCGGGAAAAGCUCAAAUUUAAAAUCUGACGGUCUUUUGGUCGUCCGAGUUGUAAUCUAGAGAAGUGUUAUCCGCGUUGGACCGUGUACAAGUCUCCUGGAAUGGAGCGUCAUAGAGGGUGAGAAUCCCGUCUUUGACACGGACUACCAGUGCUUUGUGAUGCGCUCUCAAAGAGUCGAGUUGUUUGGGAAUGCAGCUCAAAAUGGGUGGUAAAUUCCAUCUAAAGCUAAAUAUUGGCGAGAGACCGAUAGCGAACAAGUACCGUGAGGGAAAGAUGAAAAGAACUUUGGAAAGAGAGUUAAACAGUACGUGAAAUUGCUGAAAGGGAAACGC
rnacentral:rRNA from 1 species